GAUGAACGCUGGCGGCGUGCCUAAUACAUGCAAGUCGAGCGAACAGACGAGGAGCUUGCUCCUUUGACGUUAGCGGCGGACGGGUGAGUAACACGUAGGUAACCUACCUAUAAGACUGGGAUAACUUCGGGAAACCGGAGCUAAUACCGGAUAAUAUUUCGAACCGCAUGGUUCGAUAGUGAAAGAUGGCUUUGCUAUCACUUAUAGAUGGACCUGCGCCGUAUUAGCUAGUUGGUAAGGUAACGGCUUACCAAGGCAACGAUUCGUAGCCGACCUGAGAGGCUGAUCGGCCACACUGGAACUGAGACACGGUCCAUACUCCUACGGGAGGCAGCAGUAGGGAAUCUUCCGCAAUGGGCGAAAGCCUGACGGAGCAACGCCGCGUGAGUUAUGAAGGUCUUCGGAUCGUAAAACUCUGUUAUUAGGGAAGAACAAACGUCUAAGGAACUGUGCACGUCGUGACGGUACCUAAUCAGAAAGCCACGGCUAACUACGUG
rnacentral:rRNA from 1 species